rnacentral:rRNA from 1 species
GGAGUUAGCCGGUGCUUCUUCUGCGAGUAACGUCACAGAUGUAAGGUAUUAACUUACACCCUUUCCUCCUCGCUGAAAGUGCUUUACAACCCGAAGGCCUUCUUCACACACGCGGCAUGGCUGCAUCAGGGUUUCCCCCAUUGUGCAAUAUUCCCCACUGCUGCCUCCCGUAGGAGUCUGGGCCGUGUCUCAGUCCCAGUGUGGCUGAUCAUCCUCUCGGACCAGCUAGGGAUCGUCGCCUAGGUGAGCCUUUACCUCACCUACUAGCUAAUCCCACCUGGGCUUAUCCAUCAGCGCAAGGCCCGAAGGUCCCCUGCUUUCCCCCGUAGGGCGUAUGCGGUAUUAGCAGUCGUUUCCAACUGUUAUCCCCCACAAAUGGGCAAAUUCCCAGGCAUUACUCACCCGUCCGCCGCUCGUCAUCUUCAAAAGCAAGCUUUUGAAAUGUUACCGCUCGACUUGCAUGUGUUAGGCCUGCCGCCAGCGUUCAAUCUGAGCCAGGAUCAAACUCUGA